rnacentral:rRNA from 1 species
GACGAACGCUGGCGGCGUGCCUAAUACAUGCAAGUCGAACGCAGUGGGGACGGGUGAGUAACACGUGGGUAACCUCCCAUCAGAGGGGAUAACACUUGGAAACAGGUGCUAAACCGAUACUGAUGGAUGGACCCGCGGUGCAUUAGCUCGUGGGUGAGGGAACGGCUAACCAAGGCCACGAGGCAUAGCCGACCGGAGCGGGGUAUCGGCAGCACUGGGACUGAGACACGGCCCAGACUCCUACGGGAGGCAGUAUGAGGGAAGCUUCGGCAAUGGACGAAAGUCUGACCGAGCAACGCCGCGUGAGUUAAGAAGGUUUUCGGAUCGUAAAACUCUGUUGUUAUAGAAGCGGUAUCUAACCAGAAAGCCACGGCUAACUACGUGCCAGCAGCCGCGGUAAUUC